rnacentral:rRNA from 1 species
UACGUAGGGACCAAGCGUUUGUUCGGAUUUACUGGGCGUAAAGGGCGCGUAGGCGGCAAUUCAAGUCAUCUGUGAAAUCUCCGGGCUUAACCCGGAACGGUCAGAUGAUACUGCUUUGCUAGAGUGCGGAAGGGGCAAUCGGAAUUCUUGGUGUAGCGGUGAAAUGCGUAGAUAUCAAGAGGAACACCUGAGGUGAAGACGGGUUGCUGGGCCGACACUGACGCUGACAGCGCGAAAGCCAGGGGAGCAAACGGG